AUGGUACUUCACCUUGUUGGCUGUGUGAGCGCACCAGAGGAGUGUCACCUAAAGUCGACGAUUCGUAUCGAAAUGUGAGGCAAACGACGGGGAAUUUCAAACAACAUUGCCUAAAUGAUGGAACUGAUCAAAUAACCAGGGGCACAACUUUCACCAGUUUUGCCAUUGGAAUGGGAUACAAAACGAGGCAACGGUGGACGCCAUGUGGACGCCUCCGAGAGGCACGUGUCAAACUCCUUCCACGGAGGACCGAGUGUCUGCGGGUUUUCGCUCCUCCCUUGUACAUGACUGACGAAUUAAGGUCACUGAUUAGUAAGGAACUCUCCUCACCUGGUUGUCGAGGUCUUAACUGAAAGGAAAACCCAGCAGGACCUUCAUGGAAUGAGUUUGACACUCCUGUGUUAAAACCUGAAUUCAAAAUGGAUUAAAUCGAUGUGUUUUCUCACCCCUCUACACAUAGACCAGGGUUCUUUUCACAGUCCCCAAAUCCAGAACAAAUUCAAGAAAGAGUACAGUAUUAUAUAGAGCCCUUAUUGCAUGGAACUUCCUUCCAUCUCAUAUUGCUCAAAUAAACAGCAAACAUGGUUUUAAUAAAAAAAAACAGAUAAAGCAACACCUCACGGCACAACGCCUCUCCACAAUUUGACCUAGACAGUUUGUGUGUAUGCAUUGAUAUGUAGGCAACGUGUGCCUUUAAAUAAAAUCUAUGCAGUUCUGUCCUUGAGCUGUUCUUGUCUAUUGAUGUUCUGUAUUCUGUCAUUCUGUAUUAUGUUUCAUGUUUUGUGCGGACCCCAGGAA
ensembl:lncRNA